GUAACUCUCCUCUCCAGGAACAUCUAUGGUAACACUAAGCUGCAACAUCCCAAAACAAUGCAUGCGGCACAUUAGCAAUGACACCAAAUACGUUUAACGAGCAAAAGCAAUGCAGUGAAAGGAAGUGGACGGGGUUAAGCAACUAAAAGUGUCCGAACUAAAUGCGUCAUUCUAACUUACAAUCUGAUCACCAAAAUCGACA
rnacentral:lncRNA from 1 species